rnacentral:tRNA from 1 species
UAAGUUUUUUCUAGGUCACCCAUUUUUCAUGGACCAUUAGCUCAGGUGGUUAGAGCGCACCCCUGAUAAGGGUGAGGUCCCUGGUUCAAGUCCAGGAUGGCCCAUAUCUCUAUAUUGGGGGUAUAGCUCAGUUGGUAGAGCGCCUGCUUUGCAAGCAGGAUGUCAGCGGUUCGAGUCCGCUUACCUCCACUGAAUACCACCUUUCCAAAGAGAAGGAAUAUUUGGGAUUAAACCUACUCUGACUGAAUCUAGCUUCCUAUUAUUUAUUCAAUAUAUUAAUAAGAUGCUGGACUCAAUGAAUUUUUAAAUUCUUUGUUUUCAGAGAACCUUGACAACUGCAUAGAUUUUUUUUUCAAGACAAUAAGCAUCUUUUUAAAGAUGCAGAUUUAUUAUUGGUGCUUAUGCAUUAAUAACAAUUCUAUUGAGCUGAUGCUUCAAUUUUGAAGUUAUU